ensembl:lncRNA
AUUCAAUUCACAACCGGCCGCGCUUGCAGGUGUUGCCUUUUGAAACUGCCAUUCAGGCGGCCGCUGUUCACUUCUAGCUGCGCCGCGGGUUUUGUGGAAGCGCAAGAAUGGCGCUGAUUAUUCCCGUGCCCACGGGCUGCCCCCACCCCCGCCGGACGCGAGCCUUCCCUCCGCCAAAAGAGACGUUUAAUUAGUUCUGGGGCCGCCGACAGCCAGCGGGGCCGACAAAGCCCGGCUCCCCAGGUAACCCCGGGGUUCCUGCGGCCCCGGGAGGGGGCGCCCCGCGCCUGAGCACUGGCCUCUGGCCGUGCGCUCCCUCCCGCGCCGCCGCCGUCCGCCCACCUGCCUCCCGGGCCGGCUCUCCAGCUGGCCGAAGGCUCGCUCGCCGGACUUGAGUGGCCUUGGCCAGCGACCCCCGCGGAUCCCGGACGCGAGCAGUUUUCGGGCGCCUGCGAUGUCUUCUCGCCUCUCUGUCCCCAUUGCCAGCCAGGGAGAUGGAAACUUGGUUGGUCCUAACUGUCUUGCGAGGGGGUGUCCUCUCCAUGACAUGUCCUCUCCAUGACAUCCCCUCACCCCAUUUCGGGAAAAUAUCGGGACGAUGUUUUGAGGAAACACUAGAGACACUUUCCCCUUUAUCCACCUUUGCGUCUCAGCGCCGCGUGCGCUAAAAGGGCGCAAAGUUGCCCUGGGAGAUGACGAAUGGCUGCCUCAUCUCCACGGCCAGUGACCUUGGCAACAGCGCCUCCGGCGCCCGAGCUGGCCUCGAAUACGCAGGUCUGCGGACAGCCUCGGCCUGGGUCGCAUACUCUAGGUCACCAGAGCCACAGAUGGGCCUGAGGCCUCUCCCCAGCGCCAGAGUCACUUCCGAUCCAGAGGAAACCAAGGAAGACCUUACCCUCAGUAGGUAACCUCGUGGGCCCCUCUGCCCCUGCAAGACCCGGCAAGCAGAGAAUUGGCUUCUAUAAAGGAACACCUGGAAAUGCUUUUUCCCUUGGGGAGGAGAUUGUUAAUGGAGUUUACUACCUACCUAAGUCGGUCCUUAAGCCUUCACGGGGCCAAAAUUCUAAUAAAGAAAAAUAGUACCGCA